rnacentral:rRNA from 1 species
UGGGGAAUUGUUCGCAAUGGGCGCAAGCCUGACGACGCAACGCCGCGUGGAGGAUGAAGGUCUUCGGAUUGUAACCUCCUGUUGAUUGGGACGAACAUCCAUCGUGCUAACACCCCGGAGGACUGACGGUACCGAUUGAGGAAGCCCCGGCUAACUCUGUGCCAGCAGCCGCGGUAAUACAGAGGGGGCAAGCGUUGUUCGGAAUUACUGGGCGUAAAGGGCGCGUAGGCGGCCGCCUAAGUCAGACGUGAAAUCCCUCGGCUCGACCGGGGAACUGCGUCUGAUACUGGGGGGCUUGCAGCCGGGAGAGGGAUGGGGAAUUCCAGGUGUAGCGGUGAAAUGCGUGGAUAUCUGGAGGAACACCGGUGGCGAAGGCGGCAUCCUGGACCGGUAUUGACGCUGAGGCGCGAAAGCCAGGGGAGCAAACGGG